rnacentral:rRNA from 1 species
UACGGAGGGUGCGAGCGUUAAUCGGAAUUACUGGGCGUAAAGCGCGCGUAGGCGGCGACGUAAGUCGGGGGUGAAAGCCUAUGGCUCAACGUUGGAAUUGCCUUUGAUACUGUAAUGCUUGAAAAGGGUUGAGGAGAGCGGAAUUCGGCGUGUAGCGGUGAAAUGCGUAGAUAUGGGAAAGAACAUCAGUUGCGAAGGCGGCCCUCUGGUCCUGUUCUGACGCUGAGGUGCGAAAGCGUGGGGAGCAAACAGG